AUGUGUUUUCAUAACAGAAGAAUGAUGUGGGUGGAUGAUGAUGAUUAUGAUGAUGACAAUGAUGACUUUGACAUUGACCAUAUGAGACAAAGUUCCUGUAACAGUGAAAUGGAGCAAGAAUUGACUGAUACAGACACAGGAAUGACCGCUUUAUAAAACAGCAAGACUAGUGAGAUGUCAAGUAUAUCCUCCAAAAAGGCCAAGGAAAGCAAAAGACAUGUGCUGUCAGUGUAAGUGAUAUGUGUGACUGGCACAUGCUGCUAUCGUGUGAAUAUGUCUUAGGUGCAAUAAUUGAAGUAAACAUUAUUUUUCUUGGUAAGGCACUAUUGGAAUUUUCAUUGUAGUUCAUAUAGGCAUUUACUUCUGGUAUUCUUUUUUAGACUUUGUAUACCAAAACUCAGUUGAUGUUCAAAUUUUGAUGCUUUUUUUAUAAACCUCAAUAAAUAUUAAUAAUGCAAUACCUUAUUUUUGUGAUUUUUUUCUGUUAAGCUCUUACUGUUUAACAUAAUAAAAUUUAGAGUAACAAGAAAUCAAUUUGCCCUUCUUGUGUGCCAGCUCAAGUUAUGUGGGGCCCAGGAGGAGAAACAAGCCAGUUUACCCUUCUUGUGAGUCAAUGGAAGCCAUGUUGGGCCUAGGAGGAGUAACAAGAAGUUAAUUUGCCCUUCCUGUGAAUCAGUACAAGCUAUGUGGAGGCCAGGAGGAGAACAAGUCAAUUCACCUUUCCUGUGAGCUGACACAAGUCAUGUGGGGCUCAGAAGAGAAAUAAGCCAAUUCACUGUUUAUGUGAGUUGGUGGAAUCUAUGCUGGGCUUUGGAGGAGUAACAAGAAGUCAGUUUGCCCUUCCUGUGGGCUGGCACAAGCCAUAGGGAGCCCAGGAGGAGAAAAAAACCAAUUCACCCUUCCUGUGAGUCAGCAGAAGCCAUGCUGGGCCUACGAACAGUAACAAGAAGCCUAUUUGCCCUUGCUGUGAGCCAGCACAGGCCAUAUAAGGCCCAAGAGGAGAAAAAAGUCAAUACACACCCAUUCUAUGAGUUGGCAUAAGCCAUGCUGACCCUGAGAGGAGUAACAAGAAGCCAAUUUGCCCUUCCUGUGAGCUAACCAGCAAACAGGCUGGGAGACAAGAAUAGCUGAGCACACCUUGCCCUACAGCCCUGUAAGCUGACUUGGAAGACUGGCUGAGUUGAUAGCAACUGAGGCACAAAAACAACUUAAUGCUUUCAUUGUGUGAUUGACUUUGCAGGCCUCAGGCCAGUAGUCUGAGCAUCUGUUAAGAAGAUAACAAUAUGCAAUAUAGCAAAUAAGGGAGAUUUCCUUUUGUCUUGAUUUUGAAAUUCAUAUUAUUCUCACUGGUUUCUUUCUAUUUUAUUGUUUUGUUUUAUUCAAUGUUCUGUUUUGAUUGUUUUAAUUCUGUUUUGUUUGAUUUUGUUAUGUCUGAUAGUGUGGGCAAUAAUUUUGAAGAUAACAAGAGGCAUUAUAGUAGCCAUUGUUGAUUUCCUGUUGUCCUAUUUUGAAGUCAUAUCACUUUCACUGUUUUGUUUUGAUUUCCUUUAUUGGUUUAUUUUAUUUGAUUUUAUUCUCUUUAAAGUAAAAUAAAUAAUAUAAUAUAAUCAAUUUAAUAAUUUAUCAAUAGAAAUAUUUCAAAGAAUAAACAUGAGUUUGACACAUCCAGGUUAUGGCUUUUAUGAGAAAAGAUGUGUUAUGCCCUUAAAGGAUAAUUGUUGAAUAAAAAUUGGAACUAUAUCAGUGAAUUUUAUGUAUACAUUUAUAUUAAAAUCUUGAUCUACUUUAAGCUUAGAUAACAUCUUUUAC
rnacentral:lncRNA from 1 species